rnacentral:rRNA from 1 species
GACUUUGCCGGAUUAGCUGAGAGGUGGUGCAUGGCCGUCGUCAGUUCGUACUGUGAAGCAUCCUGUUAAGUCAGGCAACGAGCGAGACCCACGCCCACAGUUGCCAGCGUACUCUCUGGAGUGACGGGUACACUGUGGGGACCGCCGCUGCUAAAGCGGAGGAAGGAAUGGGCAACGGUAGGUCAGUAUGCCCCGAAUAUCCCGGGCUACACGCGAGCUACAAUGGUUGGUACAAUGGGUAUCUACCCCGAAAGGGGACGGGAAUCUCCUAAAACCAAUCUUAGUUCGGAUUGUGGGCUGCAACUCGCCCACAUGAAGCUGGAAUCUGUAGUAAUCGUGUCUCAAAAUGGCACGGUGAAUAUGUCCCUGCUCCUU